CCUGUUUUAGCGGGGGGAACCAUUACCGAGUUUACAACUCCCAAACCCAAUGUGAACGUUACCAAACUGUUG
rnacentral:rRNA from 1 species